CGCGCAGGCGGCUCGGAAAGUCGGGUGUGAAAACCCGGGGCUCAACCCCGGACCUGCAUCCGAUACUCCCGGGCUAGAGGCAGGUAGGGGAGAGUGGAAUUCCUGGUGUAGCGGUGAAAUGCGCAGAUAUCAGGAGGAACACCGGUGGCGAAGGCGGCUCUCUGGACCUGUCCUGACGCUCAGGCGCGAAAGCUAGGGGAGCGAACA
rnacentral:rRNA from 1 species